GGGGUGGGAGGAGACCAGAGAGGCAGGUGGCGGUUGCCGGUCCGGGAAUCUGGGCCAGUCCGCCUUCCUCCAAGGCAUCAGAGGGGAGGGAUUUCAAGGGUCCUCAAAGGUUCCCCUUCUUAAGCAAUGCAUAGCACCCAUCCUAGGAGCGUCCGUCCGUUCACUUGUAUGUCUGUCCGAAUGGAAGUGCCUCCUUGGGCCAGAACUCACAAGUGGCCAGGCCAGCAUUGGAAGCCAGCUCUGCCUGCCCGCACAGGCCUGGACGCCCAGCCACAACCUGGUGUCCCCUCUGCCCAGCUCUCGCCUUGGCUCUCAGCUCCAAGAGGAUCACCUGGAAUCCAUCAUUGUCCACUGGAACUUUCUAUGAUGAUGGAAAUGCAUGCAGUUCUGCACUGUCGA
rnacentral:lncRNA from 10 species